rnacentral:lncRNA from 1 species
GACCAGGACAGACAUAGCAGAGGAGGGGUUCAGCACUAGACCAGGACAGACAUAACAGAGGACCAGGACAGAGCAGAGGAGGGGUUCAGCACUAGACCAGGACAUAGCAGAGGAGGGGUUCAGCACUAGACCAGGACAUAGCAGAGGAGGGGUUCAGCACUAGACCAGGACAGACAUAACAGAGGGGUUCAGCACUGGACCAGGACAGACAUAACAGAGGGGUUCAGCACUGGACCAGGACAGACAUAAC